CCUACGGGGGGCAGCAGUGGGGAAUAUUGGACAAUGGGGGCAACCCUGAUCCAGCCAUGCCGCGUGUGUGAAGAAGGCCCUCGGGUUGUAAAGCACUUUCAGUGAGGAAGAACGCCUGGUGGUUAAUACCCAUCAGGAAAGACAUCACUCACAGAAGAAGCACCGGCUAACUCCGUGCCAGCAGCCGCGGUAAUACGGAGGGUGCGAGCGUUAAUCGGAAUUACUGGGCGUAAAGCGCGCGUAUGUGGCUUGAUAAGCCGGUUGUGAAAGCCCCGGGCUCAACCUGGGAACGGCAUCCGGAACUGUCAAGCUAGAGUGCAGGAGAGGAAGGUAGAAUUCCCGGUGUAGCGGUGAAAUGCGUAGAGAUCGGGAGGAAUACCAGUGGCGAAGGCGGCCUUCUGGACUGACACUGACACUGAGGUGCGAAAGCGUGGGUAGCAAACAGGAUUAGAUACCCGAGUAGUC
rnacentral:rRNA from 1 species